CCUACGGGGGGCAGCAGUGAGGAAUAUUGGUCAAUGGACGAGAGUCUGAACCAGCCAAGUAGCGUGAAGGAUGACUGCCCUAUGGGUUGUAAACUUCUUUUAUAAAGGAAUAAAACGAGGCACGUGUGCCCUUUUGCAUGUACUUUAUGAAUAAGGAUCGGCUAACUCCGUGCCAGCAGCCGCGGUAAUACGGAGGAUCCGAGCGUUAUCCGGAUUUAUUGGGUUUAAAGGGAGCGUAGAUGGGUUGUUAAGUCAGUUGUGAAAGUUUGCGGCUCAACCGUAAAAUUGCAAGUGAUACUGGCAGUCUUGAGUACAGUUGAGGUAGGCGGAAUUCGUGGUGUAGCGGUGAAAUGCUUAGAUAUCACGAAGAACCCCGAUUGCGAAGGCAGCUUACUAAACUGUGACUGACAUUGAUGCUCGAAAGUGUGGGUAUCAAACAGGAUUAGAUACCCUAGUAGUC
rnacentral:rRNA from 1 species